AUGUUUAGUACAAUUUUAACAUUUAACAAAAUAAUUCAUACAUGUAUGACCAAUUUCUCAGAAGAAAAAUGGAGGUGUCCAUUACUAUGGUUUUGGUGUAUAAAUGGAGUUGGAAUCUUCUCUAUUUCUUCAAAGAAAUGGAGAGUGCAUUUACUAAUGUUUCCAUGGUAUAAAAAUCAAAGUAUGCCUAUGUCAUACAUUUCAAGAAUCAAUACUUUAAUAAUAACACUCUAUUGCUUUGAAAAAAUAGCAGGAUCUCAACUCAUAUAA